rnacentral:piRNA from 3 species
UGACAGUAAAUGUUGCACCUGCUGAUUGGU